AACGAACGCUGGCGGCGCGUCUUAAACAUGCAAGUCGAACGGCAGGAAGGGGCUUGCCCCUUCUGAGAGUGGCGGACUGGUGAGUAACACGUGGGUGACAUACCUUUUAGGUGGGGAUAGCUAUUAGAAAUAGUAGGUAAUACCGAAUGUGACCGUACCUGUUAGAGGGGUACGAGGAAAGGAGCUAAGGCUUCGCUAAAAGAAUGGCUCGCGGCCCAUUAUGCUCGUUGGUGAGGUAACGGCCCACCAAGGCGAUGAUGGGUAUCCGGCCUGAGAGGGUGAACGGACACAUUGGGACUGAGAUACGGCCCAGACUUCUACGGGAGGCAGCAGUUAAGAAUAUUCCGCAAUGGACGAAAGUCUGACGGAGCGACGCCGCGUGGAUGAAGAAUGCCGAAAGGUUGUAAAAUCCUUUUAAGCCUGAUGAAUAAGCACAGUAGGGAAUGAUUGUGCGGUGACCGUAGGGCUUGAAUAAGCACCGGCUAAUUACGUG
rnacentral:rRNA from 1 species